UCCUACGGGAGGCAGCAGUGGGGAAUAUUGCGCAAUGGGGGAAACCCUGACGCAGCGACGCCGCGUGAAGGAUGAAGGUUUUCGGAUCGUAAACUUCUAUCAGCAGGGAAGAUAGUGACAGUACCUGACUAAGAAGCCCCGGCUAACUACGUGCCAGCAGCCGCGGUAAUACGUAGGGGGCAAGCGUUAUCCGGAUUUACUGGGUGUAAAGGGUGCGUAGGCGGCGAAGUAAGUCAGAUGUGAAAGCCCGAGGCUCAACCUCGGGACUGCAUUUGAAACUGCUUUGCUAGAGUGCAGGAGAGGAAAGCGGAGUUCCUAGUGUAGCGGUGAAAUGCGUAGAUAUUAGGAGGAACACCAGUGGCGAAGGCGGCUUUCUGGACUGUAACUGACGCUGAGGCACGAAAGCGUGGGGAGCGAACAGGAUUAGAUACCCUGGUAGUCCACGCUGUAAACGAUGAAUGCUAGGUGUCGGGGGUCGAACCUCGGUGCCGCAGCUAACGCAUUAAGCAUUCCACCUGGGGAGUACGAUCGCAAGAUUGAAACUCAAAUGAAUUGACGG
rnacentral:rRNA from 1 species